rnacentral:rRNA from 1 species
GUGCAGCAGUCGAGAAUCCUUCGCAAUGCGGGAAACCGCGACGAGGGGACUCCCAGUGCCUACGCUCAGCGUAGGCUGUUCCCGAGCCUAGAAAGCUCGGGGAGUAAGGGCUGGGUAAGACGGGUGCCAGCCGCCGCGGUAAUACCCGCAGCCCGAGUGGUGGCCACUAUUAUUGGGCCUAAAGCGUCCGUAGCCGGCCCGGUAAAUGCCUGGGUAAAUCGUGAGGCCUAACCUCACGAAUUCCGGGUAGACUGCCGGGCUAGGGACCGGAGGAGGGAGAGGGGUACUCCAGGGGUAGGGGUGAAAAUCCUGUAAUCCCUGGAGGACCACCGGUGGCGAAGGCGCUCUCCUAGGACGGGUCCGACGGUGAGGGACGAAAGCCAGGGGAGCGAACCGGAUUAGAUACCCGUGUAGU